rnacentral:rRNA from 1 species
AUUGAACGCUGGCGGCAGGCUUAACACAUGCAAGUCGAACGAGUGGCGGACGGGUGAGUACUGCUUGGGCAUCUAGCUUAUGGAGGGGGAUAACUACGGGAAACUGUAGCUAAUACCUCGUACCAUAGGAUGAGCCCAAGUGGGAGUAGGUAGUUGGGGAGGUAAAGGAUAAACAAGCCGACGAACUCUAGCUGGUCUGAGAGGAUGACCAGCCACACGGGGACCGAGAAACGGCGCAGAAUCAGACGGGAGGCAGCAGUGGGGAAUAUUGCGCAAGGGGGGGAACCUGAUGCAGCCAUGCCGCGUGAAUGAAGAAGGCCUUCGGGUUGUAAAGGUCUUUCGGUAGCGAGGCGUUAACUACAGAAGAAGCACCGGCUAACUCCGUGCCAGCAGCCGCGGUAAUUC